UGAACACCCAUCUGCCUUUAA
rnacentral:piRNA from 1 species